AUGUGUACGGAUAGUAGAGCCGUUAACAACAUCACCGUAAGGUAUAGAUUCCAUAUUCCCCGUCUGGAUGAUAUGUUGGAUCAGCUUAGUGGAGCAAGAGUGUUCACAAAGCUAGAUUUAAGAAGUGGAUAUCAUCAAAUCCGUAUAAGACCCGGGGAUGAAUGGAAGACCGCCUACAAGACAAAGGAAGGGUUGUUUGAAUGGCUAGUCAUGCCAUUUGGACUCUCAAAUGCACCAAGUACCUUUAUGCACUUAAUGAAUCAAGUCCUUAGACCCUUCUUAUCCCACUUUGUUGUGGUCUAUUUCGAUGACAUCUUGAUCUAUAGCAAGGAUGAGGAUGAACACUUUGAUCACAUUCGGAAGGUGCUAGAAGUACUAAGGGAAAAUGAGCUCUACGUCAACUUGAAGAAAUUUGUUUUCCUGCAAACACAACUUCUUUUCCUAGGAUUCGUCAUAACAUGUGACGGCAUUCGUGUUGAUGAUUCUAAGGUUGAAGCAAUCCGAGAAUGGCCAACUCCUAAGACCAUUUCUGAGGUAAGAAGCUUUCAUGGCCUUGCAACUUUCUAUAGGCGAUUUGUUAAGAAUUUCAGCACUAUCAUGGCACCAAUUACUGAGUGGUUGAAGAAAGGAAAGUUCCAAUGGGCAGAAGCAGCUGAAGCUAGCUUCAAUGAGAUUAAACAAAAGCUAUCACAAGCUCCUGUCUUGGUACUACCUGAUUUCAACAAGACUUUUGAGUUGGAGUGUGAUGCAAGUGGAGUAGGCAUUGGAGCUGUCCUAUCUCAAGAAAGGAAGCCCAUUGCUUUCUUUAGUGAGAAGUUAAGUGAAGCUAGACAGAAAUGGAGUACCUAUCAGCAAGAAUUAUACGCCGUUUUCAGAGCGUUGAAAACUUGGGAAGUCUAUUUGCCGCCUAAAGAAUUCAUUGUUUAUAGCGACCAUCAAUCCUUGAAGCAUUUUACAAAUCAAAAGCAUGUUGACCGCAUGCUAGCAAGAUGGGCAUCAUAUCUUGAGAGGUUUAACUAUCUCAUCAUGCAAAAAUCUAGAAUAACUAACAGAGUGGCCGAUGCUUUGAGUCGUCGUGCAUGCCUCUUGAUUUCUUUUGAAGCUGAACUUCUGGGCAUGGGUCAAAUAAAGGAGUUGUAUGAGGGUGACGAAGAGUUUGGCCAUGUUUGGGUAAAGCACGCAAGGGACCAACCAUUAGGUGAUGACUAUUUGAUGCAAGAUGCAUAUCUCUUCAAAAAUGAUCGUUUGUGCAUUCCAAGAAGUUCUAUACGUGACAAGCUGGUUAGAGAGCUCCAUUCAAGUGAUCUUAGUGGCCAUGUUCGUUCAACGGUGCCCCGUAUGUCAGACCUACAAAGGCCAAGUCCAGAACACAGGAUUAUACAUGCCUUUGCCUGUUCCUGUUGUUCCAUGGAAGGACAUUUCUAUGGACUUCGUCUUGGGCUUGCCAAGAACAAGACGAGGAAGUGA
rnacentral:rRNA from 1 species